rnacentral:rRNA from 1 species
AUUGAACGCUGGCGGCAGGCUUAACACAUGCAAGUCGAACGAGUGGCGGACGGGUGAGUAAUGCUUGGGCAUCCAGCUUAUGGAGGGGGAUAACUACGGGAAACUGUAGCUAAUACCGCGUACCAUAGGAUGAGCCCAAGUGGGAUUAGGUAGUUGGUGAGGUAAAGGCUCACAAGGCCGGUGAUCGCUAGCUGGUCGGAGAGGAUGACCAGCAACACUGGGACUGAGCAACGGCCCAGACUCCGACGGGGGGCGGCAGGGGGGAAUAUUGCGCAAUGGGGGAAACCGGAGGCAGCCAUGCGGCGUGAAUGAAGUAGUCCUUCGGGUUGUAAACUUCGUUCGGUAGCGAGGCGUUACCGACAGAGGAAGCAACGGCUAACUCCGUGCCAGCAGCCGCGGUAAUUC